CCGCCGUUUUUCCUCGAUGGAAUUUGGAAUUUGCCCUGGUUCUUUUUGGCUUCCAAGGUUUGUUAUUGGUGGGCGUCCUCUGGUUCAUCAUGCAACAAAGUCGACGAUGAGCAAGGUGUGAACUUCGUUAAAAAUUAAAUCGUAUGGCAUUCACGGAUUUUAUUCAAAUUUGAAACAGCUUCUACGUGUUGUUGAAGUCACGGACUCACUGCUGAACAGAAAAUCGCGAUGUUAUGUACUUCACCGACUGCCACUUCACAUUUCUCGAUUCAAGGCCUGUUAAAAAGGCAGAGAAGAGAGAGGCACAGAGGGUUGGUGCUUACAUGAAAAUCGUUGCUCCUUCACUAACCGACCUGAAAGCGCUCAAAUGCAAGAAAGCGUAGAAAUAUCAAGAUUCACUCCACUACCCAGUACCACAAAGGCUCCUUUGGAAACCCAAGGGGACGUUUGGACGUAUUCGAUACAACUACUCCGGAAAGAAUUCUGAAGGCAACAGAUUUAUAAAAAAUGCUCAGCUUUGAAGCUGAAAACUAUUUUACAAGUUUUGUUGUAAUUAAGAACCUUGUGCUUGGUGGGGUUAGAUUCCAUUCCUCUCAUCACUAACUGAGUUCGAGCUCCGUACUGUAAGAUACUGACCAAGAUUUUCCGCUCGGAUUUAAGGCCCGCGCGCUCGCGCUUCGCAUGAAAUUCCUGUCAUAACUCUAUUUCAGACUAUUCUUGGCAAAUCAAUUUUUCCUUGAGCAUAUAAAAUGCACAGGAUUUGCAAUGAUAGUAUCGUUGUGUUAUAAAUAAGAGCUGGUUUUUCCUAUCUUCCCAUUGAGCUUAAUUGUCAAGGAGAAAUAAAAUAAAAGAGAAAACAUUUUAAAACCUUUUGGAUAAAAUAGAGUGGAAAAUCUAAUAA